CGGCCGCGUCGACGUAUGUCGCAAGCGUUAUCCGGAUUUAUUGGGCGUAAAGCGCGUCUAGGCGGUUUGGUAAGUCUGAUGUGAAAAUGCGGGGCUCAACUCCGUAUUGCGUUGGAAACUGCCAAACUAGAGUACUGGAGAGGUGGGCGGAACUACAAGUGUAGAGGUGAAAUUCGUAGAUAUUUGUAGGAAUGCCGAUGGGGAAGCCAGCCCACUGGACAGAUACUGACGCUAAAGCGCGAAAGCGUGGGUAGCAAACAGGAUUAGAUACCCUGGUAGUCCACGCCGUAAACGAUGAUUACUAGGUGUUGGGGGUCGAACCUCAGCGCCCAAGCUAACGCGAUAAGUAAUCCGCCUGGGGAGUACGUACGCAAGUAUGAAACUCAAAGGAAUUGACGGGGACCCGCACAAGCGGUGGAGCAUGUGGUUUAAUUCGACGCAACGCGAGGAACCUUACCAGCGUUUGACAUCCUAAGAAAUUAGCAGAGAUGCUUUUGUGCCCCUUCGGGGGAACUUAGU
rnacentral:rRNA from 1 species